ACAUCAGAACGGGGUUUUACGGGGUUGACCUUUGACCUAGGCCUGACUCUCGGAGUGCUCGACUUUUGUAGACUGGAACGUAUACAUGUGCGCAACAUGUGUGGUGUCUGUGCAUGCGUGUGUGUUUGUUUGUGUGUGGAAUUGAACCAUUGACUACGCCUAACUCAGGAUUGUUUCACAAUCUAUGUGAAAGUAAAGAACAUCCGUGUGGUGUCUGUGCAUGUGCUUGUAUAGACAGGGUCGUAUGCAUGCGUGUGUCCGUGCAUGCGCGUGUGUUUGUGUUUGUGUGUGUGUGUGUGUGUGUGUGUGUGUGUGUGUGUGUGUCUGGAAUACACAUGAUCAUACUAUGUAUGAGAACAUGUGUGUCUGUGUGUAUCCGGAAUGUAUGGGAACCGGAUUUAACAUAACUAUUUUUUAUGAUGCCACAUAAAUAUGCCAACAUAAAUAUAUUUUAUGAUGACAUGCAAAGCAUAACUAUAUUUUAUGAUGACAUGCAAACAUAAAUAUGUUUUAUAACCUAGACCUACCUCGGAGUGUUUCAUAAAAGGAAAGAACAUUUGUGUUUAUCCAGAAUGCAUGGGAACCAAAUUUAACUUAACUAUUUUUAUGAUGCCAACAUAAAUAUGCCAAAAUAAAUAUAUUUUAUGAUGAUGGCCCCCUUUGAACUGUCAGGUUCAUUAAAUUUUAUGAUCCUGACGCCUUUGACCUGCCCGGGUCAUUAUAUUUUAUGAUCUUGACCUUUGACCUAGACAUAGAGAGUAAUAUGUGUCUUUCUGACCUUUGACCUAGACCUGUCAAAAUAAGGUAUAGGCCAAAGAUCAAGAUCAUUAUCAUCAAUCAUAUUUAUGUUGACAGGUCUUGAGAGAUGUAGGUCAAAGGUUAUCACCAGCUGUCAUUAUCUUGACAGGUAUAGGUCAUUACAAACCGUCAUCAUCGUAACAGUUGUCGUUAACGGUCAUCACCAGCUGUCAUUAAUGUAACGGGUGUAGGUCAUUACCAACAGUCAUUUUCUUAACGGUUGUCAUUAAAAGUCAUCACCAACUGUCAUUAGCG
ensembl:lncRNA